CAGUCGCGUUUGCUUGGACUCAGCCUUACCUCGGUUUGGUGCAUUUCCUUGUGAACGGGCCAGCGUCAAUGUUGUUCGUUGGAAAAGGGUUAGAGAAAUGUGGCUCUUUCGGGAGUGUUAUAGCCCUUUGUCAGACACGUCGGUUGGGAUCGAGGACCUCAGUGCACGCUUCGGUUGUGCUUUGAUGCUGGCGUAAUGGCUUUAAACGACCCCGUCUUGAAACACGGACCAAGGACGUCUAACAUAUAUGCGAGU
rnacentral:rRNA from 1 species